rnacentral:tRNA from 2 species
GCACCCGUAGCUCAGUAGGAUAGAGCGGUGCCCUCCUAAGGCAUGUGCAGGGGUUCGAUUCCUCUCGGGUGCACCA